rnacentral:lncRNA from 7 species
AGCUGUGUUCGGGCUUAUUCCUUGCCUCUAUUUGACUUUGCUCCUAGGUAUGGUGUGCAACUCGUUGCUGGUUCCAUGAGAGCUUCUCCACGGCGCUCACACAGGGACAUAAAAUGUGAGGGGUGGCCUCUGUCCUCCUGGCACCGUGGUUCCCUGAGUGCAGCUCCCUUCCUUGAGCAGGAUCAGAGCAGGGCUUCGGAGGAUCCUAUGCAGAGAGCAUCCUCCAAGGACGUGUUUUCAAAGGUACCAUAGGAUGAGAGCUGGGAAAAGCAGAAGGGGCAGAAUCCACUCUUGGUUCUCCAGCAGUUUCCAGCAUGUGGGCACCUGCAUGAUUUGCCAUCGUCAGGACUCUCCAUCUCCCAAAGGCUGAAUAAUCUCAAGAAAGGGCCCAGGAAGAAGUGAAAUCCUCUCCAGAACGGUCAUUUGCAAGAGUGUGUUUCCGUAACCUUGCAUUGUUACAGCAUCACAAGGAUUUGUCUCCUCUUCUGGCUCCAGCACGCAUGUUCCUGGCUCCCAUGGAGGCACUGUGGACAGCCCAUGCCAUACAACGUGCCAGAAACAUGACCUCCCCAUGAACUUCGGGCCAUAUUUUCAAGUCUGCGCCCAGCUCCUUGCAGGCAGGGCUGUCUGGCCAGUGCAUUCUGGCCCUUUUGCAUGGAAAAUGAGCUGUGUCAGCCUUCGUGGCCCACUGGCUUGCCAGCUGCAUCCCUAACAGCACUUUGCAGCCUCCUCCCUCCGUGCUCAACAUGUUGCCUUCACCUGGCACAUGGGACAGCAACGAGGGGACUGUGAGCUUGUCCUCGGUGGCUGGGGCCCAGCUGGCCACCCCCAUCUCCCCACUGCAGCCACCGCACGCUCCUCGAUGCAGCAGAACUCAAUGUACAGCCCUUUUAUUUUUCCUCCUUGGUUUUCCUGUUUCCAGAACAGUUGAAUAUUUUACUUGCAUCGUGCCCCAGUUCCCCAGUUUCCAGCAGGCAGAACAGGGCGAUCUGUACUCACCUCUUGCAGCAGCUGGUGCUUGUUCCCCUGGCAAAACUUCACUUUGGAGCUGAACCCAACAAUGCUGCUGACUCCAACUGAUUCUUUCUCCCCCAGCCUAAGGCACUUUAUGAUGAUAUUAAUAACCAGACACUGAGGUUCAGCACUAAGGAUUUCUUAAGCUUGCUGCUGGGGCUGUGAUUGAGCUUUGUAGCCAUCUCUGCUUCAUCCCAUGAUCCAUCAGGGUUGGUGGGGACACCCAGACCUCUUUUGGGAAGUCCCUCCACAGCUCCUCCCUCCCAUAGCACCCAUGGGGUCAGGGGCAGACCGGGUGCUCCCAGACCUCUUUCCUGUUCUGCCCUUAAUACAUCAAAGGGAGAUCUCUUGUUCGAUGGUUCUCUAUUAACCCUAUUCAUGAGUCUUUUAAUUAGUGUUGCCUUCUGCUAAGUAAUCGCUUCAGCAUUAGCUCCUCUGGGGCAAUGCAGAGCUGCAACAGGGCACUGCAGGAGCUGCAUGCUGCUGUUCUGCUUUCUGGACCUGCUCCUGCUGGCAACUAUGCCAUUCCUUUUGCACAGACCGCACAGUGCCAGAGCAGCCCACUAAAACUUGCAAAGAAAAGCAGAAAGAAGCAUCUGAAACCCCACCAGGAGCUGCGGCAGGUAGAGUUCUAUCCUUACAUCUGGGAAACCUCCAGCUCAGCUCAAUCCUGCUGAUGCACUGCUAAGGGGAGCUUUGUAGUGGCCCUAUUCAAAGCACUCAGCUCUGGGGGCAUGUUUCCCCCAGCACCCAGGAGUAAUGUUUCCUUUGUUAAUUCAGGGUCCCCACCAAUCUGCAUCACCCCAUGCCUGGAGGCAGAGCUGCCAUGGCUGCCUUUUAUCCCCUGCAUCCUCCGGCAGAGCUCACAAAGUGGUACUUUGUACCAGAGCAAGAAACAAGAGACGUGAGCUGUAAUACAGGAGAGAGAGAAAAAAAAACCCUCAUCUCACCCCUUGUGUUUUUCCUGGAAAUGUCACUGCCCUUAAUGCAUCAAAUAAUUAGAAUCACUUCUCCCCUUUUGUUUGCCUUGGCCCUCACUGCUCGCAUUGAGUGGGCCAACAUAAACCUGUGCGCACCACAGGAAUUUUGGGCACAGCCCAUUCUGCAGUGUUGGGUGCAGGGGGAGAAGUGGCUGCAGGAGCUUUGGUUCUGCUCCAUAUGUCUCUGCUGCUGUGGGCACUGCUGGGCACAGAGCUCCCGUAGAGAGGACCUCACUGCAACGCUAGCGCUCAACCAAGUGCUGGUCCCAAUGGAAAUCCACUGUCCUGGAGAGAAGCAGCAGCAGCUGAUGCCCAUUUAAUGCCAAAAUUGCAGAUUUGUGUUUGACCUGAGUGGUGGGUGUGAGCGUGAUGCUGGCGGGACAGAUGGGUGGAUAGCUCUCUGAAGUCCCAGUGGGAUGUUAUGCUUGUUGCUCUGUAGUUGUAGCCUUCUCCUCUGGGUGCUGGGGAGUGCUCCGAGGUGACGUGGGAGAACAUAUCCCUUGUGAAUGCUGGAAAGCUGUGCUGGGUGAGGUGGCAUUGCACCACUAAUCCACGCACAGAGGAGCCCAGCACCCCCUCAGCACCCCUUACAGACACAGAUGGACACAGCCAGCAUCACAGCCCAGCUGGCUGCCUGCCCCCAGCACCGCUCCCAUGGGCUGCAUGUAUGUCAAUGGGUUAUUAAAGAAACGGAUGGGGGAUUAGCUGUGCUGUAGGU